rnacentral:rRNA from 1 species
AUGAACGCUAGCUACAGGCUUAACACAUGCAAGUCGAGGGGCAGCAUGAACUUAGCUUGCUAAGUUUGAUGGCGACCGGCGCACGGGUGAGUAACACGUAUCCAACCUGCCGAUGACUCGGGGAUAGCCUUUCGAAAGAAAGAUUAAUACCCGAUGGCAUAGUUCUUCCGCAUGGUAGAACUAUUAAAGAAUUUCGGUCAUCGAUGGGGAUGCGUUCCAUUAGGUUGUUGGCGGGGUAACGGCCCACCAAGCCUUCGAUGGAUAGGGGUUCUGAGAGGAAGGUCCCCCACAUUGGAACUGAGACACGGUCCAAACUCCUACGGGAGGCAGCAGUGAGGAAUAUUGGUCAAUGGACGAGAGUCUGAACCAGCCAAGUAGCGUGAAGGAUGACUGCCCUAUGGGUUGUAAACUUCUUUUAUACGGGAAUAAAGUGAGGCACGUGUGCCUUUUUGUAUGUACCGUAUGAAUAAGGAUCGGCUAACUCCGUGCCAGCAGCCGCGGUAAUACGGAGGAUCCGAGCGUUAUCCGGAUUUAUUGGGUUUAAAGGGAGCGUAGGCGGACGCUUAAGUCAGUUGUGAAAGUUUGCGGCUCAACCGUAAAAUUGCAGUUGAUACUGGGUGUCUUGAGUACAGUAGAGGCAGGCGGAAUUCGUGGUGUAGCGGUGAAAUGCUUAGAUAUCACGAAGAACUCCGAUUGCGAAGGCAGCCUGCUGGACUGUAACUGACGCUGAUGCUCGAAAGUGUGGGUAUCAAACAGGAUUAGAUACCCUGGUAGUCCAUGCCGUAAACGAUGAUUACUAGGUGUGGGAGGAUUGACACCUUCCGUGCCGCAGUUAACACAAUAAGUAAUCCACCUGGGGAGUACGACCGCAAGGUUGAAACUCAAAGGAAUUGACGGGGGCCCGCACAAGCGGAGGAACAUGUGGUUUAAUUCGAUGAUACGCGAGGAACCUUACCCGGGCUUGAAUUGCAACUGAAUGAUGUGGAGACAUGUCAGCCGCAAGGCAGUUGUGAAGGUGCUGCAUGAUUGUCGUCAGCUCGUGCCGUGAGGUGUCGGCUUAAGUGCCAUAACGAGCGCAACCCUUAUCGAUAGUUACCAUCAGGUUAUGCUGGGGACUCUGUCGAGACUGCCGUCGUAAGAUGUGAGGAAGGUGGGGAUGACGUCAAAUCAGCACGGCCCUUACGUCCGGGGCUACACACGUGUUACAAUGGGGGGUACAGAAGGCAGCUACACGGCGACGUGAUGCUAAUCCCUAAAGCCUCUCUCAGUUCGGAUUGGAGUCUGCAACCCGACUCCAUGAAGCUGGAUUCGCUAGUAAUCGCGCAUCAGCCACGGCGCGGUGAAUACGUUCCCGGGCCUUGUACACACCGCCCGUCAAGCCAUGAAAGCCGGGGGUACCUGAAGUGCGUAACCGCAAGGAGCGCCCUAGGGUAAAACUGGUGAUUGGGGCU